UAAUCUUCCUGCCUCAGCCUCCCAAAGUGCUGGGAUUAGAGGUGUGAACCCAUGCCCGGCCAGAAAUGUUUUUUUUAAGAAGGCUGUCUACUAGUGGAGUUCCUGGCCUGAGAGGAUAUUACUUUCCAAGGAAAGGAUUUCUUUCAUUAUUUAAGGAGCCACUUAAGCUAAAGAUUCCCUUGAGAACAAGUACUGUCCUGUGGUUUCAUGGCCUUUCUUCCAUUUGUGGUUCUUGCCAAGUGGUAUUUCAAUGACCUCUUAUCAAGAUGGAUAAACCCAAGUUUCCCAGUGCUGGAAUAGAGAAAAUGGAUGGACAACUGGAUCUACCAUGAAAGACUUCUGAAUCCAGGAAGAGAGACUGACUGGGCAACAUGUUAUUCAGAAACAGGACCUUGCCUUGUCACUCAGGAUGGAGUUCAGUG